rnacentral:rRNA from 1 species
AUUGAACGCUGGCGGUAGGCCUAACACAUGCAAGUCGAACGGCAGCACAGUAAGAGCUUGCUCUUACGGGUGGCGAGUGGCGGACGGGUGAGGAAUACAUCGGAAUCUACUUUUUCGUGGGGGAUAACGUAGGGAAACUUACGCUAAUACCGCAUACGACCUACGGGUGAAAGCAGGGGAUCUUCGGACCUUGCGCGACUGAAUGAGCCGAUGUCGGAUUAGCUAGUUGGCGGGGUAAAGGCCCACCAAGGCGACGAUCCGUAGCUGGUCUGAGAGGAUGAUCAGCCACACUGGAACUGAGACACGGUCCAGACUCCUACGGGAGGCAGCAGUGGGGAAUAUUGGACAAUGGGCGCAAGCCUGAUCCAGCCAUACCGCGUGGGUGAAGAAGGCCUUCGGGUUGUAAAGCCCUUUUGUUGGGAAAGAAAAGCAGCAGGUUAAUACCCCGCUGUUCUGACGGUACCCAAAGAAUAAGCACCGGCUAACUUCGUG